rnacentral:rRNA from 1 species
GACGAACGCUGGCGGCGUGCUUAACACAUGCAAGUCGAACGGAAAGGCCCUGCUUUUGUGGGGUGCUCGAGUGGCGAACGGGUGAGUAACACGUGAGUAACCUGCCCUUGACUUUGGGAUAACUUCAGGAAACUGGGGCUAAUACCGGAUAGGAGCUCCUGCUGCAUGGUGGGGGUUGGAAAGUUUCGGCGGGUGGGGAUGGACUCGCGGCUUAUCAGCUUGUUGGUGGGGUAGUGGCUUACCAAGGCUUUGACGGGUAGCGGGCCUGGGAGGGUGACCGGCCACAUUGGGACUGAGAUACGGCCCAGACUCCUCCGGGAGGCAGCAGUGGGGAAUAUUGCACAAUGGGCGGAAGCCUGAUGCAGCAACGCCGCGUGCGGGAUGACGGCCUUCGGGUUGUAAACCGCUUUCGCCUGUGACGAAGCGUGAGUGACGGUAAUGGGUAAAGAAGCACCGGCUAACUACGUG